CAUUAAGUAUAGAUGGUAGAAAGGGUGACCAAAGGCUUGUAAGAUAGCCUAUUAGGGUCCACAUGGUUAGACACACGGGCGUGUGUCUAGGCCGUGCGUGACACACGAUUCCUUCCCAUGGGUGUGGGCUAUGGUCGUGUGUCCUCUGCACUUAAAAUUUUAUAUCAAUAGUGCACACGAGUAGGCCACACGGGCGUGUGUCCCUGUCGUGUCUAAAAGACAGUGUUGC
rnacentral:lncRNA from 1 species